CAGAGGGGGCAAGCGUUGUUCGGAAUUACUGGGCGUAAAGGGCGCGUAGGCGGCCCGCUAAGUCGAACGUGAAAUCCCCGGGCUCAACCCGGGAACUGCGUCCGAUACUGGUGGGCUUGAAUCCGGGAGAGGGAUGCGGAAUUCCAGGUGUAGCGGUGAAAUGCGUAGAUAUCUGGAGGAACACCGGUGGCGAAGGCGGCAUCCUGGACCGGUAUUGACGCUGAGGCGCGAAAGCCAGGGGAGCAAACGGGAUUAGAUACCCCGGUAGUCCUGGCUGUAAACGAUGUCGACUAGAUUGCAGCGGCUCUGACGCCGUUGCGGUCGAAGCAAAAGUGCUAAGUCGACCGCCUGGGAAGUACGGUCGCAAGGCUA
rnacentral:rRNA from 1 species